rnacentral:rRNA from 1 species
UACGGAGGGGGUUAGCGUUGUUCGGAAUUACUGGGCGUAAAGCGCGCGUAGGCGGAUUAGAAAGUUGGGGGUGAAAUCCCGGGGCUCAACCCCGGAACUGCCUCCAAAACUGCUAGUCUAGAGUUCGAGAGAGGUGAGUGGAAUUCCGAGUGUAGAGGUGAAAUUCGUAGAUAUUCGGAGGAACACCAGUGGCGAAGGCGGCUCACUGGCUCGAUACUGACGCUGAGGUGCGAAAGUGUGGGGAGCAAACAGG